GCAACCUAGAGGGCGGUCGAUUUGGCUCUCUCGGAAGUGCUUGUAUGAAGGGGAAAAGAGGCCUCACUGGAAAAGCAACAGGGAGGAAAGAUCCUAGCCGCGUUCCUGAUGGGGGUUAUUCUGGAAGGGAGCCUCGGCAGCUGUGACUGGCGUUCUGCAUGCCUCUCUGCUUCCUGAGGCUACUCACUUCCUUGCUUGCAUGUGGCCACAGUGGCAAGUUCCAACAGUUUCUUCAGUCAACGACCCCUCCCUCCCGACUUUGCAGUUUGAGUCACCUUCAAUUUCCUGCCUGCCUGCCCCUUCCCUGAUUGACCUGAUAAAUCCAGGACAGCUUUUAUUGCUUUUGGCAAAACAUUGCCAUUAAGAUUUACGGAGCCAAAAGCUGGUACAAUGUAAUCUUCAGAGUAAUUUACACAGUGAGUUUCAAAAGAUGAAAAGUUAGCGUUUCCGAGGUAAUUUCAUAAAAAGGAUUAUCAGAUUAAUCACUGUGUCGAUUUAAUCGUGGUUUCUAAAAUAAUUAAUUAGCCUGCUUGAAGUCAGCCAUGCAAAG
rnacentral:lncRNA from 1 species